AUCGAACGCUGGCGGCAGGCCUAACACAUGCAAGUCGAACGAGUGGCGGACGGGUGAGUAAUGUCUGGGACACUGCCUGCUGGUGGGGGAUAACUACUGGAAACGGUAGCUACAACCGCAUACCAUCAGAUGUUCUCAGCGGGGAUUAGCUUGUUGGUGGGGUAACGGCGCACCAAGGCGACGAUCCCUAGCUGGUCUGAGAGGAUGACCAGCCACACUGGAACUGAGACACGGUCCAGACUCCUACGGGAGGCAGCAGUGGGGAAUAUUGCACAAUGGGCGCAAGCCUGAUGCAGCCAUGCCGCGUGUAUGAAGAAGGCCUUCGGGUUGUAAAGUACUUUCAGCGAGGAGGCGUUACCCGCAGAAGAAGCACCGGCUAACUCCGUGCCAGCAGCCGCGGUAAUUC
rnacentral:rRNA from 1 species